UACAGAGGUCCCAAGCGUUGUUCGGAUUCACUGGGCGUAAAGGGUGCGCAGGUGGUGAGGUAAGUCGGAUGUGAAAUCUCCGAGCUCAACUCGGAAAUGGCAUUGGAAACUACCUUGCUCGAGGGUUGGAGGGGGGACUGGAAUGCUUGGUGUAGCAGUGAAAUGCGUAGAUAUCAAGCGGAACACCAGUGGCGAAGGCGAGUCCCUGGACAACUCCUGACACUGAGGCACGAAAGCUAGGGGAGCAAACAGG
rnacentral:rRNA from 1 species